rnacentral:rRNA from 1 species
AUACGUAGGUGGCAAGCGUUAUCCGGAUUUACUGGGUGUAAAGGGCGUGUAGGCGGGUUUCCAAGUCGGAUGUGAAAAGGCAAGGCUCAACUUUGCUCGGUCAUCCGAAACUGGAGAUCUUGAGUGUCUGAGGGGAAAGCGGAAUUCCUGGUGGAGCGGUAAAAUGCGUAGAGAUCAGGAGGAACACCGGCGGCGAAGGCGGCUUUCUGGCAGACAACUGACGCUGAGGCGCGAAAGCGUGGGGAGCAAACAGGAUUAGAUACCCUGGUAGUCCACGCUGUAAACGAUGAAUACUAGGUGUAGGAGGUAUCGACUCCUUCUGUGCCGCAGCUAACGCAUUAAGUAUUCCACCUGGGGAGUACGGCCGCAAGGUUAAAACUCAAAUGAAUUGACGAGG